GUCCGCCUACGGGGGGCAGCAGUGAGGAAUAUUGGUCAAUGGGAGAGAUCCUGAACCAGCCAAGCCGCGUGAGGGAAGACGGCCCUAUGGGUUGUAAACCUCUUUUGUCGGAGAACAAAACCCGGGACGUGUCCCGGACUGCGUGUAUCCGAAGAAAAAGCAUCGGCUAACUCCGUGCCAGCAGCCGCGGUAAUACGGAGGGUGCGAGCGUUAAUCGGAAUUACUGGGCGUAAAGCGCUCGUAGGCGGUAUGUCAAGUCAAGGGUGAAAUCCCCGCGCUCAACGUGGGAACUGCCUUUGAAACUG
rnacentral:rRNA from 1 species